CAAAGAGAGAGGAAGAUUUGCUUUCCACAUCAUAAACACAUGAAGUGGAUGGAAGGUUAAAUGGAUUUGGUGCUUUAAACUCUAAAGUCUUUUUAAUUUUUUGGCUUUAAAAAGUCAGAAGUUAACAAAAAAUGUUCCAGCGUUCAGUGAUUCAGUUUCUUUUCUUUAGUUUUAUUAUUUCAGUGCCAGAGAAUCCAAAACGGUACAUUUGUUCAGUUUAUUCUUGGAAAUAUGGAGACCCAAAACUGAAUAACACAAACAAAAAGAUCCAACUGGUAUUACAAGCACACUGCUACUGGUGCUUGUUACUACUACUGCUUCUAAUUUGUAUAUUAGUCUAUUUUUAAUAUGUUACUAUAGUAACAUAUUAAAAAUAGACUAAUAUUAUAAGUAGAAAUAUUAGGGCAAAUAUCCACUGCCUGAAGCUUCGUUUUUUAUAGUAACUGAUUUUUGUUGUUUAGAUUACUCAAAGCAGACCUAUUAUGGUCAUUUCCAGCUCCAUAUUUUUAAUCUCGGGCUCUACUAGAGUAGCUGAGUAUGGGUCACACUUUAAAAUAACCCUUAUUUAACCUAUGAUGGAUCUUGAUGCAGACCCUCAGUUAAUCCUGUGUCUGCCCCCUUCCCUUUAACCUAGCUGUCUUCUGAUUGGCUGCCCCUCGUAAACAGAAGGUUUGAACAGCAAGUCAUUUUGUCCUGAAGAAAAGGGAAUUCAAAUCCUUGUCUAAAUUUUAAAUAAAUUUGUCGCAUAUUUUAAGGGGAACUGUUUAACUACAUUUAGUUUGACCAUGGGCCGGCCGGCCAGCCCAUUUUACAAGCGUUUUUUAAACGAGUGUAACUGCGUCAUCGUUUACACUAGAGCGAAAAUGCGAACGGUUUUGAAAAGAAGAGAAGCUGCGCUUCACAUUGAUAUUUGGUGUAUUACGGUAGCACAAACGGUUUGCAAGCUACCGCUCUUGGAAAAGAAAAGUCAACUCCACUUAGGUGCGCUUCGCACUAGCGUAACUCCUCGACCAUUUGGGCAAGAGAGACAUUUCAAACAGUGACUAAAAAACAAGAAAACGAGCUUUACGGAACUUUAUGGUGCAUCAUUAGGAAGCACGAGCUGUGACGGUCCAAUCACAUAUUUUAUUCUGUACCUCUCUGAUGUCUCUGUUCAGUGUGAAGCUGCAGCCUGUUACCUGAGCUCUACACCUAGCCUGCAGCCUCGUUAUCACUGCACCAGUUUUGCAGGGAAGCGUAGAAAGGAAAGAGGAGGAGAGAGAGUGGACUCAAACUCAGGCUUCUGCACUUCAGACAUAAGGCAUAGGGACACCUGCUUAACCGAACCAGCCAAACCAAAGCCCUAAGUAAGGCCUUUCUGUCAGUACUGGGAGCACUGAGGCACCAUGAGAUACUUUACAGCACUCGCCAAUUUAUAUUUAUUCAUCAAGCAGCAGCAGCCCCCUUGAUAGCAGUCACCUUCAAUCACCACAGCCAGCUGCUUUGUGUACACAUGUGGAAGUUUCUGUUAUGGCUUGACUACUCUUCUAACAUCUGUUUUAGUUGUCAUUUGGAAAUGUGUGCUUAAGAAAGUGUGUCCCGUCCAAAGACAGUAAAAAAAAAUGGAGAAAGCUUCAGGGUCUGAAAAGUGAAGCCAGCUCGAAGGUGCGUUAAACCUGAAUUACUUUUUCAUGUCCACCAGGGGGCGACACCUGUGGCUGCAGAAAGACCUCUUGUCCCAUAUAAUUCAAUGGCAAGACAGUCCUCAGAGCUGAUCUCUGUAAACACUUUGCUGAUAAGUUUAUGGGCUCUGUCAGCGAUUUCAGCCCAUACUGAAUAAAACAUUAAAUACAUUUUGUUUUAGAAAGGAGGAUAAUCCAGGAUACGCUCAUCUCAUCUUUGUGGUCCUGAUGUAAAUUCUUAACAAACCAGUCAGUAUUAGCAGAAUGCAAGUGUUUCGGGUGUCUUUUUUUUUUUCUCUACAAGGAGGUGCAUUAUACAGCUGAAUUAUUUCAGCUGUAUUUACAUUUGCUACACAUGGGCUGUCACUGCUGCUCCUGAGACUGAAUUUCAGCCAGUUUUGUUCCACAAUGUGAUCAACAGGAAGUGAAAUGGCUCCCAUAGUUCUAAGGCUAGCUGGUGGCAAGAUAUAAAGUAUAUAUAUCAAACCAUUCUGUUAAGUCUCAUGCAAAAAAAGAGCACAAAAAAACCAAAGAAAAUAACUUUCUGUGAAAGCAUUAAGUGAAAUUUUUAUAGGAAAAAACAUUUUUUAUUUGGUCCCCAGACUCAGUCCAAGCAAAUGCAUACAAUCAGUCAAUGAGCCAAAAGCCUUCAGCGAGAGCUGUGUUAAAUCCUCGCGAGGCAGUUUGGAGAGUAACUAUUCAUACUUAAAAAUGAAAACACAGCCUUGUUUAAAGAGAUGCGUUGCCUGAACGACAAAACUCUGGACUGUUUUGGCUGCAUGUUCGCUCAGACUUGAGAUAUGGGGGGAGCUAUCUUGUGUAGUCUAUCUCCCUGUCCCAUCAUAAGGUACAAUCAUGUAAACACACAAAGCCAGAGCCCCCCCCCACACACAGA